rnacentral:rRNA from 1 species
CUUCACUGCAACUUGACAGUGAGGUUCGGGACAAUCUGCGUAGGAUAGGUGGGAGGCUUUGAAGUCGGGGUUCCGGCCUCGAUGGAGCCAACGUUGAAAUACCACCCUGAUUGUUCUGGACUUCUAACCCAGGCCCCUGAGCGGGGUCGGGGACACUGUCUGGUGGGCAGUUUGACUGGGGCGGUCGCCUCCCAAAAAGUAACGGAGGCGCGCGAAGGUGCCCUCAGGCUGAUUGGAAACCAGCCGUAGAGUGCAAUGGCAUAAGGGCGCUUAACUGUGAGAGGGACACCUCGAGCAGGUGCGAAAGCAGGUCAUAGUGAUCCGGUGGUUCCACAUGGAAGGGCCAUCGCUAAUCGGACAAAAGGUA